rnacentral:rRNA from 1 species
UACAGAGGUCUCAAGCGUUGUUCGGAUUUACUGGGCGUAAAGGGCGCGUAGGCGGUCGUGACAAGUCACUUGUGAAAUCUCCGGGCUUAACUCGGAACGGUCAAGUGAUACUGUCGAGCUAGAGUGUGGAAGAGGCUACUAGAAUUCCGUGUGUAGCGGUGAAAUGCGUAGAUAUCGAGAGGAACACCUGCGGCGAAGGCGGGUUGCUGGGCUGAUACUGACGCUGAGGCGCGAAAGCCAGGGGAGCGAACGGG